GUCAGAAUGUGAAAUGCAACUUCAAAGCCGCACAGGAAGCCGCUCUUCACCAGGAGUUUUAAUGUCACUGCAGAGACAUCCUUGACUCUGACAGAGCUUUGGAAGAAACACUUCAGUGUCCUCCAUCAUGUCAACCUCACUGACAAGGCCUGGGAAGAUCUCACUGAAUGUGACUUUGCAAGGCGUUUCCAGGCAGACUGGCAAACCUCACUGCAGCCGCCUUCAUGCUCACACACCUUCAGUGUGCAUGGCUAUGUGCCAUCCACGGGAAGCAACGAGUUGAGAACAGCUUAGACUGAGAGUUGCUGGGAAAGCAGCCCAUCGAAUCUGUAACUUAUAAAGGAGCUUCAAUUGAUAAAUUCAUUAACAAUAAAGUAAUCUGUUGCCAGCAA
rnacentral:lncRNA from 1 species